ensembl:lncRNA
UAUGUAGGGUUACAGAAGUGCAUGUGUGGACACACAGCUUCUGCCCUCUUUCCAAAACACACACACACACACACACACACACGUGCACACACUGACAGGUGUUCUGCCAGCUAUGAAGAACAGAACUCAUGAGCUGCCUCAUUGUGAAAGACGUUCUUUUCCAGUAACAACAAAGGAAGUCUUCCACCCAGCAGUAUGAAGGUAGACCAUUCUCUAUAAGCAGGUAAGACACACCAAUCUCCUAAAUGCUGAAGAGGACUAAAAAGCACACAACAUCAGACCACGGAGAAAAUCCCACCAAGUUCUUUGUGACAGCAAGCAGAGGCGAGGGCACCAAAAAUCCACCUCUGGCAUAUGAAGAGAGAGAGUGGGGAGGGAAAAAGCCAAAUUCUUAAGUUGUGCAAGAAUAAGUAAAUCACAUCCAACUAUGACAGCAUUAACAACACAAUAUCAAGGGUUCAUGUAAGCCUCCCAAACCAUUUCUCUGCUCCUGGGCAGACAAGGCAGGACAAGUGGAUAAAUAAGCUGUGCUCGCAGCCACACGCACCUGCCAGCUAUCGUCUUACCUUCCCGCUCUUGUGCGAUCUCAUUUGGACCCAAGUAAGAAGUCUCCCCUUACAGCCACAUUGUGCUCAUUCAUGCAGUCAUUCUCUAAACCAGUCUGGCUGCUCGGAGCGAGCAGAAUUACACUUAAGCCUCUGUGACCGGGGCACUGCAGGAUCCUCGCUUUUGGUCCGUUCCCUGCUGGAGUGGGAAGCGGUGACCGAACCCUCCCACUCAAUGGGCAAGCCCAAAUGUCCAUCUACAGCACCAAGGAUCCAUGGCUUUUAGAGUUUGUCAGAUUCUUGCAGUUUAUAGUGCUGAAAGCUCACCAAGAGGUGAGCCGGGGGUUAAAGUUAUUCGUCUCAUGAUUGAUCUGCUCUUCAGGUUUGCUGCAACGGGCCGCACUGUGCCUUUAAGAGAGCUCUGUAUGACUGCAGGGCUAGUCUUGGCACCUGGUCUUGGCCUUCUGAAUGUCCCUAUUCAGGCAGAGCUAUUGUGCUUUGACUUUUUGCUUCACCUUAAUCCAAAUGAGUUUUCAAGUUCAGACAAGCCCUCUGGUUGUUCAUAACUUUAACUACAUGGGACAUUACACAGGCACCUACAAACUGGCAGAAUCAGGCCCUUCACUAUUGUCUUAAGCCCGGUUUUGAAAAGAAUAUGGCACUGUUGCUUAUGGGUUUGCCAAAGCAAACUGUGACCUGGCAUCUGAAAAAAGCAAGGAGUCUGGGACGCGUGGCAACAACAGAUGUCUGCCGUGCAGCUGGGACAUGAACAAAGUCAGAGGGAGGAUCUGCAGGAGGCUGUGGUAGGAGGCUGAGGCCGCAGGGCAAGUGCAGCUCCUUCCCCAGCCACAGAGACCCCAUUUCAGUGCUGUCAAAUGCUUCAGAGCAACAGCUAAGAAAUUCUUUCCAUAUCUGCUGUUAAUUAGUAACUGCUUAUUUACAUCUAGGAAAGGCAAACACUGGUCUGCCUCUUCUGGAGUGCCGUGCUUCAGGAUUAGCGACAGACAGACCUUCUGCAGCUCACGACAUUUACCUACUGUAUUUUCUUUAACAGCUGAAGUAAUGACAUCUUAUUGACAGCACAGCAGAGCAAACAAUGUCUUACUGAAAGCUUCAGUGCUGGAUUUGGGCCGUCCUAAGGACCUGAGACCAAGUAAAGUAAGCAGGUUUUGCUACUGAAUGAAAGACAAUGACUGUUCUAGUUCACCGGUGGCCUUUAGCACUCCUAGACACAAAAAAGAGAACAGCCUAAAAAUGGCUUAGAAAGGAAGGAAGGCUGCCUGAACUGCCUAUACUCAACCAUUUCAGACUCAUGGAAAUUACUCUCUAUAUGCUGAACCUAGGCCAUUGGUUCACUCCCUCUAAUCCACUGUGAACAGUAUAUUGUUCUACUUCUAUGACAUAAAAAAAAGAAAAAUAAGUGACUGAUACAAACAACAUACCAAACAAAUCACUGGACAGACAUGUCCAACCUGCAGCAUGCGGCCUGCUGCAGCCCAUGGGCCGCAUGCGGCCUGGCACAUCUCGCCAUGUGGCCGCCCUCUGCCCCUCGCCAUCAUGGUGGCAGCUCUGCCCCAUGCACACCCAUCACUUAUCAAUUACCAAACACCAGUGCUUUAUUAACCCCAUCUGGGCUGAAACCGGGGCAUGGAGAGAGCACAGUGCAGUGCCUGCUCAAGUUAUGGUAAAUAAGUUUAUGGAUUUUCAUACAUUCGCAAAACACAGUCACAGUGAACAGCAAAAAAUAUGCAGCCUUGCUUUCCAUUUUGAUACAGGAAUUUGAGAACAGGUUUCAAGAUUGCAAAAAAAAAAAUCCCAAUUUUUUUUUUUUUUGUUUAUUUGUGACUCCUUUUUCAGUUGACAUAAAUACAUGACCUGCAAAUUUUCAAAUGAAAUGCACAGAGUUGCAAUCAGAUAUUCAACUGAAAAACUUGAUCAUGUCUCUCUACUGGACUUUCAUAAGCCCUCUUUUAUCAGAGAGAAAUAUCCUUCACUUCACAGUCACUCCUUAUCCAUGUCAUCACUGUUGGCAGUACGUAUAUUUGUGAACAACUGUUUUCAAAGAUGAAUCACAGGAAGAAUAAAAUUUCAUCAAAAAUCUCUGACAAACACCUUGAGAACUCAAUGAGAACGGCAACCACUGCCAUCGAAUCACUGCCAACCUGAUGCAUUAGUUUCACAGAAACAAGAUCCAAUAUCCCUCUAGUUUUAUGGUUUUGUUGCUCUCCUUUUUAUGUUUUAAUAAAAAAUAUUAAAAAAUAACAUGUUUUAUUACUUAUAUAUACAUUCACUAUACUAGUAGAUUUUAUGAGGACUGCUCCAAAAGUAGAACCUCCUUUAUUUUAUUUAUGCUGCUUUAUUAUGUUGGCCCACAGUAUUAGAGGAGGAUGUUGGUUGUUUGAAAGUAGAGGCUGAACCAUCCCACUGGUAUUCCAUUGUAUUUUGUUGUUGUGCGACAGAUGGCAGCAGAGGGGCGGUCUGACUGAAUGGCACCUGACGUGCAUAUGAGGUAAAGCUGUGUCACUGAAUUCCUCCAUGUGGAAAAAAAUUGCACCCAUUAACAUUCAUCAACACUUGUGAAUGUUUCUGGAGACCAAACAGUGGAUGUGAGCACAGUGAGGCAGUGAGUGGUGCAUAUAAGCAGUGGCAACAGCAACAGUGGGUCACCGCCACCAGUGCAGAUUUUUACAAGCAUGGCAUGCAGGCAAUUGUUCAUCACUAAUAAAAAUGCAGAGCUAAUGGUGGUGACUAUGUUGAAGAAUAGUGUUCUGCAGCUGAGAACUGGCUCUAUCAAAUAGUGUUACUGUGCUUUUGUAUCGAUUGUAGUUUCCACAGAAAUGAAUAGGAGGCAUUACUUUCAGAACAACCUACAUACAUACACCCAACACAAUUUUUCUUUCCUCUGUGCAGCCUGGGUAAGUCAAAAGGUUGGACACCCAUGCCCAAGGAGGUCUGUAAAGAGUACGUUUUGGUGAGGAAACAGUGAAAUGGUGAGGAGGUAGGUCAGAAACUGUUUGAGAGACUAGUUAAAGGAAUAAAAAAAACCCUCAGACCUUCCCCAAACACAAUGGAAGCCAGCAGCCUGAUAGGUAAUCGAUAAGGCCCAGGGGGCUUUCAGAAAGGGAAAAGUUAAGUGGGCUCUAAAUACUGAAGAGCAUUUCAGGGAGAUUCCCAUAGCAUGGGCUUUCCUGGUGAGAAGAAAAUAGGAGUAACUCAAAUUUAGUAGAGAAAGAUUUAGAACAGAUCAAUAAAAUAAGCAGUAAUUAAUCAGCAGGACUGUAUUAUAUUUCCCCAGGGCUGUAAAAGACCCGCUAGCUGCAGUGCACAACCUACCACUUAACAGGUGUUCAGGGAAUAAAACGUGGCAAAGGUGAUCCCAGCUCUGGAGAGGAAAAUUAGGAGAGGUCCAGAGAUUAACAGAUCCAUAAUGAUGACUUGGAAACACUAACCUGGGAAAAUUACGAUGAAGCAUAUCAUUAAAAGAUCUAGGAUAAACAUGAUACAAAGGGAAGAAAGUAUAGUGGCUUCUGUGGAGAGAAAAUCUUGCCUCAUAAAUCCAUUGAGCUCCUUUGAAAGUGUCAGUGUGAUCACAAGUUGUGGUGGUGUGUUAGUGCUACAGGAUGCCUGUGUUUGCAGAAAGGUUUUGACAAGAUCAAGAGGGUAGAUAAAUGAAGAUCUCAUAGUGAGUCAAGAAGAAGGAGUAGGAGUAAAGGAUUUUUUUUUUUUUUUUUUUUUUUUUUUCCACAAAAAGAGUGAUUUCCAAGGGAGUCCCACCAUCAUCUACAAACAGCGUAGCAAAGGUUACUGAUGUUGUGAACUUUAGGACAAUAUAGACUAAAGCUGACUGCAGAGUGUCACAGGAACAGCUUUCAGUCUAACACACAGAAUUACUCUCACCUAAUUGUGGACAUCUUCAACAUAGGUGUUAGAGAAACUGAGACACCUGAGGCUCGUUAGUAAUCAGUGGAAAGAGGUAUUUCUGAGACUGGAUUCCUCUGAUGUGUAAGAGACAGUUACAUUAGAAUUUGAGGAAUCAGCUCUAGAAAUGCCUCUUUCUAUCCACUUUCACAGUGAAAUGGGAAUGCAUGGCUGAGGCCAUUCAUCUACAUUUAGCCCGAUGGACCUGCUCUGAAUGUGCAGGCAGUAAAAUAGCAGACAAAAUUCAAUGUCAAUAAAUGUAAAGCAGUGAACAUGGAGGAAAACAACCUUAACUACAUAUAUAUAAUUUAAUGGGUUUUAAAUUGGUUAUUACCACUCAGAAAAGAGAACUAGGAGUUACUGCUGAUAAUUCUAUGUGGAAAGCUCUCAGUUCACUGUUAUCAGUGCUCAAAAAGUUCCUAGGAAAGGCUUAAAAUCAAAACAGAAACUAAAUGGUGGCACUGUGAAAAUGGUGCAUCCCUCCUGUUUCAGUGGGGACAGUUCAGGCCCCAUCAUUUCAAAAAUCAUGGUAAAAAUGGUACAGGUGUAGGACAAAGGCAAGAGGGUUGCCCAAAGGUUGGAACACCUUUUGAAUGGGGAAAGGUACAACAAGGAGGACUCAUCAUUACUGGGACCAAUGCUCUUUAAUAUCUUCAUCAAAGCCAUGAACAGUGGAUUGAGUGCACCCUCAGCAAGCCUGUAGACAACACCAAGCUGAGGGAUGGGAUGCCAUCCAGAGAGACCUAGAUAAGCUGAAGCAGUGGGCCCAGGUGAUCAUCAUGAUGUCCAACAAAGCCAAGUGCAAGCUCUUGCACCUGGGUCAUAGCAACCCUGCCUAUCAAUACAAGCUGGGGAAUGUAAGAAUAGAGCACAGCCCUGCCAAAAAGGACCUGGGGGUACAGGUGGAUGGCAAGCUGAGCAUGAGCCAGCAAUGUGCCCUUGCAGACCAAAAAGUCAGCCGUAUACCCUGGGAUGCAUCAAAAGAAAUGUGGCCAGCAGGGCGAGAGAGGUGAUCCUGCCCCUCUACUCUGUGCUGGCAAGACCUCACCUGGAGCACUGCAUCCAGAUGUAGAGUGCUCAGUACAGGAGAGACACAGACCUGUUGGAGCACAUCCAGAAGAGGGCCACAGAAGUGAUUCAAGGGACGAAACACCUCUCCUACAAGGACAGGCUGAGAGAGCUGGGAGUAUUCAGCCUGGAGAAGAGAAAGCUCUGGGGAGCCUUUCAGUAUCUAAAGGAGAGCUGUAAGAAAGAAGGGGACAGACUCCUUAGCAGGGUCUGUUGUGACAGGAAAAGGGAAAAUGGUUUCAAACUAAAAGAGAGAAGAUUUAGACUGUAUAUAAGGAGGUUUUUUGUGGUAAGGGUAGUGAAGCACUGGAACACUGGAAAAACUGCAUAUUCGCUGCACUGACAGAUAUAAAUCAGGGACAAGAUGUUCCCUUUGUUUAGACAGGUUAUUCAGAGCUGCCUAUGUCUAGCAAAAGGCCGGUAAGUGAUCUGCCAGGGCUUCCCUUAAUGGCCAGAGUUUAAAAGGGUCCCAAUAAGGCACAGCAAAGCAGAACUGUGGCUGAGGACAGGACGUACUGAAACCCACCCAGGUGGAUCUACCAGAUUGACUGGGGACCACAGCAAAGGACCUCAGUGGAACCCUACAAAACCAAUCCAUAUAUCUUUAUAUUUGAUAUAUAACAUACUUUAUAUAAAUACAUAAUAUAUUUUUUUAACUCUGCAUACAGGCAUUUGGAAAAAUGUCUAAGCUGCUGCUUGGAGAUUGAUUCUUCAAAACUGCCAAAACUGCAAAUCCACUAAUGUGCCACAGAAAUUGAGAAUUAGCAGUGUCUGCCUUGGAGAUCUUCCAAACACAGAGAUAAUACUACGAAAAAAAUGGCAGAAAAGAAAUGAGAAAGAACUAGAAAUCUUUCACGUCCUUCACAGUGGAUAUACCACAGCUCCAUGCAGGAAGGAGUGUGGAUGUGUUUCUGCUUCCCUUGUGUCCCCCCAGUCCCACAGCACCACUGCUGGCACUGAAACCUUCGGCACACUGUGAGGAACCUACCCAGCCCCUCCAUGGGGACAUGCGGCACAAAGCCACUGCAGCAUUUUAGUUGGGCUCUCCCUUCUUCAGGAACUCAUGCUGGAUGAUGUCAACCUUUGUGGUUAACAGCUUAUUUAAUAAAAUAUUGAUUUUUUUUUUCCCCUCGUGCUGUAGGAAAUAAGACCUUCAAGCACGUUGAUGAAGUACUUUAGUUUCCUUAAAUUCUUUCCAGGGUCUUAACUGAAAGUCUGAAUCCUAAACUAGACGUUUCCCAUUCAUUUAUGCUCACAUUUCCUGCAAGUCCUAUAAAGUAUGUGCACCAAGUUGGCCGAUGAAGGAGCACACCACAACUUUUUUGAUUUCUCCAGAGGUAGAGGUCCACCAUCAGCUGUGCAUGGAAAAAUCUAUGAGUGUGAUUUUGAGAGGAAAAAGCCCUUACAAACAGCACUGGGGUAAAGCAUGGGGCAAAGCAUCAAUAUCUGUAAUAGCUUCUUGCCGACCAAAACUAAACAAAGUGGAAAUGAAAUGGUUUGUAUAUCUCACACAAGAAGCAUAUGUAAUUUGGAUAGUGUAAACUGCAAUUAAGCAGUGCAUGUGAGAAACAUACAUCAUUUGCAUCUCAUUAAUGAAUAAUAAAAUUAGUAUUAGAGAUGAGGAUGUACUACAAGCUGAGGUAUAGAGAUUUGGUUUAUCCCUAAAACAAAGAUUUUGAAAACAGAAACCAUUACAUUUUUAAAUAAUAAAGGAAAAUAAAGAGUAUCUGUAGGGUUCUGAAACAGUAUUUAACUGAAGGCCUAAUUUUCUAAAAUACAGAACAAAAAGACACUAUAAAGACUUUAUUUCAAGAAUACACAUGGUAUUCCUAAUAGUGUUCACUAUAAUGCAGAAUGGUACUAAGGAGUAACAGUACGCCUUGCUGAUGACAUCUAGGAAUUGUACCUGUACUGAUAAAUUCUGAAAUGAAGUAGCAUCAUCUGAAAUACAGAAACCUCAGUUUAAAAAUUUCUUUAUCUGCUAAGUUUGUAAUUUAAUCUUUCACAAAAUAAAUGGAUUGAAAUCAAAUUCUGCUUUUUUUUUUUUUUUUUUUUUU